CACUGAUUUCUGUCAUUGCAGUUAGAAAUAUUAUGCUGCCGGAGGGAUGCACUAGCCAGACUGCUGGAGGAUGUCUUCAAAAUCUACUUGAGCAGACAGAGAACAUUACAGCUCAAGUGGUUCCUUUGAGCACUGUGGUGAACAUUUUGAAUAUGGUCUUCAACGCUUCAGAGAAGAUUGUUAGAGUCAUCAUCAUCAGCAAGCCCAACUGAACUAGCCUCCUAUGGAAACCGUGUGUUAAAAACCAGUGAGAAACUCAUCUCUACAUUAGUGAAGCUGACAGUCACAA